rnacentral:lncRNA from 1 species
UCUCUCUCUCAAUCGAGCUAGCGAGCAGCCGAAGGGAUUAACUAAAGAGGAGCCUGAGCUCCGCGCUCUCAGAUCCGGCCGCGGCGAUGCACUCCGCCACACGAUCUCUGCUUCCCCUCCUCGCCCUCCUUCUCCUCCUCGUCGCCGGCGCCGUGGCCUCCGAGUUUGAUCACAAGGUACGCCCUCUUCGCUCCUCUCCUCCUUCCUUCGCAAAGAUCGCCGCAUCCGCUCGAUCCUAGCCCUAGUUUCCCGAUUAGAAAGCGGUUUCUAGCGGGAUCUUGGUAGGGGACCGACGGAUACUCUUUCGCUGUUUGUCUUUCUCUGUAUCUGCUUGGAUCCUUAGGUUAUUGAUCAGAUCGUUGGUGUUUUAACGUGGUUCGAUGGACAUAUUUGAUUCUUGGUUUCGACGGGAUGUGGGUUUUUGAUUAGGGUCAUUUCUAUGGGUUUGGAUCUGAACGGUGCUCUUUGAUUCCUUGAUUUAUUGAGCAAUUUUGCGCCAAUUGUGCCGGUCAUCCAUCAUUGGCUAUCAAAAUUCCAUCUUUUUGAUGUUUAUAGAUGGUGAAGUUCCGGCAUAUACGCUAGAGCUUCGAUUUUUGUUCUGCUUUCAAUUGAAAAAAUGUGCUCUAUAUACAUUUUGCUUAAGUGAAGUAUUGACCUGUGACAGAAUCAUGGAAUCAUAACUUUAACGGUGGCGUUUUGUUUCCGAAUCAGAUAUUCUGGAACUAGUAGUUUUUUUGUUUGUCUCUAUCAUAAGGUAGCUCUAAUGCAGUUUCAUGAAGGUAUAGAAUAGGGUAUAAUGCCUUGGAUGGGGUGGCUUUGGCUCGCUUACCAUGCGUUUAUCAUGAAAUAAAUCCCCAGAUAACACCUUGUAUGCUAUUUCUGGUGGAGAAAACCAGUCUUUGUGAUUAGUGCUAAUAGUUGGUGACACUCGUUGUUUGGAAUUGAAAAAAAUGCGAACUUGUGGCUUUUUGCUGGUCAAUAAGGUUUGGAAACAGAUCUUAUACUAAAGAAAUAAAGAAAACAUAAAGGCAAAGGAGACAUUGCAUUCUGGGGAUCUAUGGUCAAAAGAUUUUUGUUUGGUAGUGUUAAGGCAUAUAUUCAGGGAGGGUUGCCAUAAUAUUAAGGGAAGGAAGAGUAUAUAAGUUGCAGCAGUACAUGAUCAAGGAGAGCAAUACUAGAAAAGGGAGUUUGGGAUGUACCAAUGUAGUUGUCCUUUUCAUUUGUUUGUCCAUCAGAUUAAAUUGCCUUUAUAAUUAGCCAUCCUAUUCAAUCAUCCUUGAUGAGUAUGGCCAGUAUGCCCAAUAAGUUUUGGUUGUUUUGACACUCAAGUGAGUGGAAAAGAAAAAUGAGGGAGUGUAGAUGCAGGUACCCAUCAAUUUUUAUGGGCUCUGUCCAAUAAAAUAACUGAUAUAAAACGGAACUCCAAGUCCGUGAGCCAACAGGGAGCCCUUAUCCAAAGUAGGCUUGUAGGCUAAUUUAGGACUCAGCUAUUAAUCUUCUGUUCUUUUUCAUGGCUUAUUGAAUUGUUGUAAAAUUCUUGGAUAAUGUAAGAGCACUGUAGUUGUGUGCUUAAAGGAAUGUAGGCCUUGACUCAAUCAGAAUAUUUUUUCCCUUUUUCAGCACUGCUGGAAGAUUUGUCUCAAGGACUCAAGUGGAUGUCGAUGACAAUGAGUCAUAUAUUCUAAAAUAAACCUACAGAUAUUGAGUAACAGCUUCUAUAGUAUAUGGUCCAAUUGUAUAUGAUAUUAGUAUGUGAUUCUUGAGCAUAAUCCUAAAACUAAUAAACUCCCUAAAAUUACUUAAACCAAAGCAUUAAAUGAUCAGUAUAAACCAACUAGAGUCCUGCAUGUGCAGCGCAUGUGCACUGAUUUUUUUCCCCCUUUUUUGGCCUACAUUUUUUUGCUUUCUUUUCGAUGUGUCAGAGGAGUGUGUGGAAAAUGGAGGGGGAAAUUAGAGGGAGAGGAGUGUAUGAGUAUAUAAAUUUUCUAGGAACUAUGAAGCCACGGGGCUUCAUGCCUUGAGGUAGGCCACAUGAAGCUAGCCACAAUACUUUGACAUUAUACAUUAGUAGAUCUCAAAAUAAUCCUAUACAGAAACCAAUGCAGAAAAGGGGAAGCCAACAUGAGAAGACAAUCAAUUACAAAAAUAAUUGGUUUCCGAUGCUUGCAUUAAGUAAAAGCAAGUAAUUUGGCUAAUUUUUGUGAUGCAAUUUGGAAUUAAUCUGGCUAAAAUUGUAACAAGGGAUUCAGUAUUUCAUUUCAUCUAUUUCGAGCAAAAUAAUUUGAUCAGAGGUAAAAUUCAUUCCAUUGGGGAGAGAGUUAAAUUAGGAAGCACGUUGUUCAUUUUAUAAAAAUGAAAAGUGUUUUUUCUGGAUUGAAAGUGACAAAAAUAGUAAAAGCGUAGGAGGCAUAGAUACCCUGUUUUUUUGUAUUCACAUGCAACGCAAAUUGUGCUUUGAUCAUUCUGUUAGGAGCAUUCAAGCCAAAGAAAUUGUGGAGUUGUUUUUAAUAACAAAGGUAUGUUAAUUGCUUAUUUUUGUAACAGUAGUCUGUCUCUGAUUUCCUUCUCCUUGUUCUUCUUAAUAAUUUUUGUAAUAGGUAGAUUGCCUGCAGGCCAUGUAAAUCAGUAGGAAAAGAGUUUGUUAUAUUUCUACAUCAACUAAAUUGUCCCAAAAAAAAAAAAGUAACUGUAGAUGUGGUUAUUUGAAAGUAAGAGCCAUAGCCUAUGGGUUAAUGAUAUUGUCUAUCAAUGUCAUAAUUGAUGAAUAAUUAGUGAUUAAGGUAGUGCUCUACUGUUGUAAUCCCUUUUAGUGUUUUCUGAAUGAGCUGAAGUGCCUUAGCUUGGUCUUCUUUGCACAUGUUGUCAUUAAACCACCGUAUUUGCAUUCAUGGCAUAUUUAGUGAUUCCAUUUCAUAAAAAGCUCCUUUUCUUAUUAAAUAUGUUGUAAGAGGUCUUUUUUCUAUACUGCUUUUGUCCUUACCUACUCUCUACCCCUCCUUUUUUCCUAACAAAUUGACACUAAAGUUUAUGUAAGAGAUAGUUAGAUAUUAAAAUAUAAAUCCCCUUGUCUUGCAAGCUUAAAAUUUUAGGUCAAACUCAUUAAAGCACCUUUGAGCUCUAAAAAGAUGGAACAUAGUGGAAGAGAGUGGAGAUAGAAACAUCAACUUUGCAUUAGGAGAAGAUGGAGUUUACCAAAUUGGGGAAGUAGCCUUGUGUUUGCUAACCAAUGUCUAGUUAGUUUGCUGUAAGGGACAUGGAAAGUAGGUUGCAUAUGCAUUACUUAACUGCAAGGUUGGGUAUGCAAAAAAGUAAACUGGCAGGAGUUUGUAUUCCAUACUCUUGGAAUUUCUUUACAUAAGAUACUUUGGGUAUCUUAUGGCAAGAUUAUCUUCUUUUAGCCUGGCCUUCUCUUUCUAUUGUGGGGAUUGUUCAGUAUCUUAUGGGAAGAUUAUCUUCUUUUAGCCUGGCCUUCUCUUUCUAUUGUGGGGAUUGUUCUAUGGGUCUCAUGUUCAUUCUCGUGUUCAUGACCUAAUUUGGGAUCAAAAUUGUCUUUAGCUGUUCCUAUUAUUCUGUAUUCUCUAAUAACAUAAUAAUUCGCCAAUGCUUUUUAAGUUGACAUAUUUGCGAUAUGCAACUUCAUGUAUCAGAGGAAACUUUUGUUUUGUUUUGUUUUUGUUUUGUUUUGUUUUGUUUUUUUUGAAUUUGGACUUCCACUAAGAAUAUUAUCAUGGCUUCAUAUGCAGUACAAAGCUGAUGACCCUGUCACACUCUGGGUAAACAAGGUUGGCCCCUAUAAUAAUCCUCAGGAAACCUACAACUAUUACAGCCUUCCAUUUUGCCAGCCAUCUGAAAACCCUGCACACAAGUGGGGUGGGCUUGGGGAAGUUUUGGGUGGAAAUGAACUGAUAGACAGCCAAAUAGAGAUAAAGUUUCAAAGUAUGAACUCUUUCUUUACAUAUUCCUCCUUUUCUUUUCUGGAUUAUUGAUUUGGAAUGGAGCUCGGACCAUAUUUGUUGGAGACAUCAUUUUUGAUUGCCUUUUUUUUUCCCCAAGAAAAUGUUGACAAGGGCUCCAUUUGCACGCUUGAGCUUGAUGCCGCAAAGGUGAAGCAGUUCACAGAUGCAAUAGUUAACUCAUAUUGGUUUGAGUUCUUCAUUGGUAUGUUUUUGACUGUAUACAACUUUCUUCUUUCCUUUUUUUUCCUUUUAAAAUACAGCAAAAUUGCCAUAUAUGUCCAUUUGCUCUUUGAUUCUUUUCAUAUUAUUGUGAUUGAAUGCUUACCAUUUUUCCUUUUUAUUUUCCUCUUCCUUGCUGGGGCACAAUGAUUUAGAUGAUCUACCUUUGUGGGGUAUGUAUAUGUCAGUUCGUCAUGCCUUCUGUUUGUAUUUUGAUAAUUGUGUCAUAUUGUUUUUCCUUCAGAGUUAUACUAAUUUACAUUCACUUGUUAUCAGGCUUUGUUGGAGAGACUGACAAAAACAAUGAAAAUAAACAUUUUCUUUUCACACACAAGAAUAUUGUUGUUAGAUACAACAACAAUCAGGUAUAUGGUUGCUAAAAGCUUUAUAAUUAUUCCUUUCCAGACCACUUACGGUACUGGUUUUGUCUUUUUCUCUUUCCUGCAGAUCAUUCAUGUCAAUCUCUCUCAAGAAAGUCCAAAACUUUUGGAAGCUGGGAAGACAUUAGACAUGACCUACUCUGUGAAAUGGUCAUCAACAAAUGUGAAAUUUGCACGUCGUUUUGAUGUUUACUUGGAUUAUCCUUUCUUUGAGCACCAGGUAAGGCUUUUUAAUACCAGCCCAUCAAGUUUUGGCUCAAUUAACUUCAAGGCACCCUCUGCUCUGCUGUCUUCCAAAAUUUGAAAGGCUAUGCCUGAGAACUUUAUGGCAUUGCGGAUAUGUUCCAUUUGAUAGUUUUAGUGGAGAUUCCUUCUUGCUUUGAAAACAAACUGUUCCUUCUGCAGAUUCAUUGGUUCUCCAUUUUCAACUCUUUCAUGAUGGUUAUUUUCCUCACUGGCCUGGUGUCCAUGAUAUUGAUGCGAACUCUCAGAAAUGAUUAUGCAAAAUAUGCUCGUGAAGAUGAUGAUUUGGAGACUCUGGUGAUUAUCUGCACCCCUUUCAGUUGCCGAAAUGUCAUAUAUGUAGAGCAUACCUUAUAAUUUGAGUUACUUUUAGUUGGCAGUUUUUCACUAAUGUUGGUAGCAUGAAAUUCGGUCAUUGUUUUGUUAGUCAAUUUGUAUGUUCAUGUAGUUGCAUUUUGUCAGGAAAGAGAUGCGAGUGAAGAAUCUGGAUGGAAGCUUGUUCAUGGAGAUGUCUUUCGGCCUCCUCGCAAUUUGGUUCUUCUUUCAGCUGUUGUUGGUACUGGUGCCCAGUUGGCAAUUCUUAUUCUUCUGGUAAUCGUGUUGGCAAUCGUCGGAAUGUUGUACAUUGGGUACGUAUAGAAUCAGGUUGAUGCCUACCAGAUGGAAUUAAUUUUUUUGGUUUUCGAGUUGAGGAGAUAAUACUGGAAAUGAAGGAAAAAAUGCAAAGAGACCACCAAGCAAGCAUGACAGAAAGCACACUCAUAUACUAUACAAGUAUUACAUUCUUUUACGUGUUCAUUCAAAUUUUCCAUUAUUACCAAACUAAAAAGCUUAUUUUAUUUUUCUCACAAAAACCUCAUUAUGCUUUGAUCACCUGUUAUCGAAUUGUGAUUCUGUGAUAGCGGUGGUUGUAUUCUCUUUAUUUAUUCUUUUCUAAUUGGAUCGUAAUUGCCUUUUGCACUUAUUUUAACAAUUUCAUACUCAUUAUGCUCUGAUGACCUGUUAUCUAAUUAUGAUUCUAUGGUAUCAGUGGUUGUAUUCUCUCUAUUUAUUCUUUUCUAAUUGGAUCACUAUUGUGUUUUGCACCUACUUUAACAAUUUUGUAUGUGUGUCAGGCGAGGAGCUAUUGUCACGACUUUCAUUGUGUGCUAUGCUCUCACGUCAUUCAUUUCGGGCUAUGUUAGUGGUGGACUUUACUCACGGAAUGGCGGUAUGGUUUUUCUCAAAUUGGUUCUGUUACUUUUUUUCUGGCUCCAAUAUGUGGUUCUUAAAAGUUGAUCAUACUAAUUUUUCAGUUUUCAAGGGAGCUCCUAACUGAAUGCAUGUUUUGUAUAUUGGCAGGUAAAAACUGGAUAAAGGCAAUGAUCCUUACAGCAUCACUGUUUCCAUUUAUGUGCUUUGGGAUUGGCUUCAUACUUAACACAAUUGCUAUAUUCUAUGGAUCACUGGCAGCUAUUCCAUUUGGGACAAUGGUGGUUGUGUUCAUACUUUGGGCUUUCAUCUCCUUUCCUCUGGCACUUUUAGGUACUGUUGUGGGUAGAAACUGGAGUGGCUCCCCAAAUAAUCCAUGCCGUGUGAAGACCAUUCCUCGUCCUAUUCCAGAGAAGAAAUGGUAUCUUACACCUUCUGUUGUCUCACUCAUGGGAGGGCUGCUUCCUUUUGGAAGCAUAUUCAUUGAGAUGUAUUUUGUCUUCACGUCCUUCUGGAACUACAAGGUAAGAGUAUAAAAGUUUUCUAUAGAUACUCGUCAUGAUAAUUUGUUAUGGUCUUUUUGUGUUUCACUAUUUAUUCGUGAAUUAAGUUUGAAUAGUCUUUAUGCUCUGUAGUUCCAGCCUUCCCCUAUUUAGUCAAUCAUAUUGCUAUUGAUGAUUAUUCUGAAAUUUUUGUCUGGUUUUUGAUUGGGCUGUUUAAAUCCUGAGAUUUGUUGAAGUGCAUUGACAGAAAAGGAUGCUAGAGACCUGAUCGGCUUAUUUUUUGCUUAUGUUACUUGGCAGGUUUACUAUGUUUAUGGCUUUAUGUUGCUGGUAUUCCUGAUCCUCAUAAUUGUCACAGUAUGCGUGACCAUCGUGGGAACAUAUUUCUUGCUAAAUGCUGAGAACUAUCACUGGCAGUGGACUUCUUUCUUUUCUGCAGCUUCAACUGCUGUCUAUGUGUACCUUUACUCUAUAUAUUACUAUCAUGUGAAGACCAAAAUGUCGGGCUUUUUCCAGACUAGCUUCUAUUUUGGCUACACUCUAAUGUUUUGCCUUGGUCUAGGAAUACUUUGUGGUGAGCUUUAGCCUUUACAAUCUUUGCAAGAAGUGGUUCCUCAUUUAUUUCCUUUUUGACUGUUGAACUGACAGCAUCUCUUUACAAAAUUCAGGUGCUGUGGGCUAUCUGGGGUCUACGAUGUUUGUUAGAAGAAUUUACAGAAACAUCAAAUGUGACUAGCCACAGCCAAAUUCCAAACACUAGGAGUGUAUGCCGUUAUGCAUUGUUGAGACAGCAGCAUUUGGGGGGGUGUGUUAAAGUUGGAUCGCUUACAGAAUCUGAUAAUGCCUGGUUAAACUGCAAGGGAGGGCUGUGCGUUCUUCUUUUACUUUUUCUGCAGCUGCUUCCCUUCUGAUCUCUGGACUUUUGGAUGGCUUUGCAUUUUUUCCCAUGCUGUAGGCAAUAGCCUCCAUAUACUUAAUUAACACAGGAUAAAUUUAAUUUAGUGGAAAGCAUAUUCAGCCUCUUUUAAUCUGUUUGGUGUUAAUAUGGACCCAAAGCUGGGUAAUCCUCUGCUAAUGGAUAAAGCAUGUACUAGUGUCUAUUCCCUCUUUAUACCUAUCAUUUCUUAUAUCAUCUAAUUAAUGUUUCUGUUUCUGCUUGUUGAAAUAUUUAGAACUGUCCAAUUCAUUUGUAGUAUGGAAUUUAUGGAAGUUAUUUUUAUCACCAUUAUAUAAAGUUACAUUGAGGUUCUCUACUGUAUCUGUUGAGUGUGUCUCUAUAUAUAAAUAGUUUCGAUUUGAAUGUGUUUGAAAGGGUAUGGUUUCUUACAUAUUCUGCCCGAUAGAGGGUUUUUCGAUAAUUCAAGGGUGCAAAUAUCAGUUGCUCGGGGGGUGUUAUCAUAAUUCUUCAGAGAAUGCCAAAUAUCCGUCUGCCUUGUAGCAAAGGGCAACAAAAUUCUGCCCUCUUGACAUGCUUGUGUGAUGAUCAUCACGAAUCAUCAUCGAAAACCUUUUGGAGUUUUAAUGCGAAACAGCUUAGUACUGGUUUACUGCUUUCCUACAGAAUUUGUCAAUCCAUUGUUCUUUUAUUGAGAAACUGCUUUUUUACGUCUGUUCCCUUUGCUGUCUUCUUCUAUGGUUUAAUUCCCUAUAAGGUUCUGUUUAGGCCGGAGGCGUAUUGUUUGAAAAAAAUUAUCUAUAGAUUUUUAAAUUAAUUUAAAAUUAUUUCUAAGUCUUUCAAAUUUUUAGAUUUUAUAAAAAAUUUUUGAACUACUAAAAAUUAUUUCUAGAUCUCUGUCAUUCACAUAGAUUGAUUACACAGGUCCAUAUUCAGAUUAUCUAGAUUUAUAUUCAAGUUACACAAAUUUAUGAACUUGUGUAAUUUGAAUAUAAAUCUAUAUAAUUUGAAUAUAGAUUUGGAUAUAAAUUUAUAUAAUUUGAAUAUAAAUUUAUGUAAUCUAAACAUGGAUGUGUGUAAUCAAUCUGCAUCGGCGGUAGGGAUUUAGAAAUGAGUUUUUAGUAGUUCAAAGACUUUUUAUGAAGUUUGAAAAAUUGAAAGAUUUAAAAAUAAUUUUGGAUCAAUCUAAGAAUCUAUAAAUAUUUUUUUUAUUGUUUGCGGCCCUUCUUAACCAAGGAGGACUUGCUACGGUGUAUGGAAAGACUUGCUCCGUUGUGUAUGGAAAGCAAUACUGGUUCCGUUUCAUGCUCAAAAAUUAUUAUUAUUAUUAUUUUUUGGUCUCCUGUAGCUGUUUGAUGUCUUUGAAGUGGAUUCAAGAAAAAUAAUGCUCAUUUCGAACUGAUCUAAUUGAAGCGCAUUUCAGCAUGGCUCGAUCUAAAGCCUUCAUUUUAAGUACCAGCAGAAGGGAAGGCAAAGGAAACGGAAGCAGCGUGUCUCAGUUUCUUGUAGAAAUAAAGGAAUGUAGCUUCUUCUCCCUUUUGACUUGGAAGCAAGUCUUCGCCAUGAUGUCAUGAAACAGUAAUUUGCAUGACCAAAUAAAUUGGAUAUUUUUGUGGAAAAAAAUAGAAAUGUUGAAACGCCUAUCGUAUUUGACCUUCAGCACCAUGUAAUCUCCAAAAUAGAAAUAUUUGCUGUGCUGUUAGCGGAGGCAAGGAAUAUAAAAGAAUCAAAUCAUCAACUCAUUCGGUGGGGGAAGGGAGCGAUAAACGAGGGGAAGAAAACGAAGGAUGAGUCAGGGACCCAAUUGGUCCCGCAAAGGAUUCUCUUCUCUAUGUACGCCAAUAUUCUUCAGCAUGGACCGCCCACACGUGGCUGGGCUAACUUUCUUUCGGCCCACAAGCCUUUUAUAGCCCACUUCCGUCUUCGACCGCUCCACUUCUUUUUUUUCUUUUUUUUUUUCGAAGGUGGCUGGGUCGGUGGGGGAGCGGAGGGGGGCGCGUUGGAAUUAAGUUAUCAAGUAUAUGGAUUUAAUGGGUACCAUGAAGUACUUGGGCAGAAAAAAAAAGGUGACAUAAAGAGGGAAGGGGUUGUAUCUUUUACACAAAAAAAUGGUUCACCUUCCUUCGCACGAAGCCCCCCAUGGAUCGUGCAAAUGUUGAUUUGAGAUUUGUGCAAGUUGAUGAAUGAGAUAUUUUAAGUGUUUUGAAAGCUGUGUAAGGUGUGAUCCAACGGAUCACAUCGUGAAAGAUCAAUCAUUCUUUGCUCUAAAACACGCAACCCGAUUACCUGAACCCACAUACAAGGCAAGAAACAGCUAUCCAUGGAAGGAGUCAAAUGGGACUAUAAAACUACCCUAUCCUCAUCUCCUUCAAUAAACUGGUCCAAUCACAUCAAAACCCCAUUCAUACCUCCCUUCCAGUGAGGUAACCAGCCCAUCAUAAACAAAUUUUUAUAUGUUUUUGAGCUGACUUGACUUCGGAGUGAUGGAGUGGUCCAUGACUCAACCAGUGUACAACUCCCAUAAGAAACCUCUGAGAGCUACGUGUUUCCUCUUCAGAUCCUGAUAUUUCGCUCACAAACCCAUUGCAUAAUCUCGAAACUACUACGAAAUUACAAACAGGAAGGGCGGUAGACUACAUCUUGUGAGGUCUAACAUGGCAAAUUUUUAAUCAUAAUAAAUGAAGAAAAGAUAUAAACCAAUCCACUUACCUAUUCCAAAAAAAACAAAUCUCACAGUCUCACUCUUCAGCGCUUCUUGAAAGAUAAAAGACACAGCAGGAUAUGUCAUGGUUAAAAGCUCCAAUCCUUUUCAUCUUUAGCAGCAUCUUUUACAGAAGCUUGCAUCAAAAGAAGAGUUUUCCAACUCCACAAGCUCUUCCUUGGACGCAGAACAUUGGACACCAGGAAGAAUGAACAUUCAAAGCAAUGAAGCCCAUUAGUGCACUGAUGCUGUCUUCAGACAGUAAGUAUGCAAUGAAUUAAUUAAUUAAUCUCCAUAUCAGACUCCAAAGCAAAACUUUAAGCAUCCUAAUAAAGAAGCCCGAAGACACAAUCUCACGUGCAUUAUUGUAAGCCAUGCAUCUUUGUGCUAUUCUUUGAAAAGAAUGCACAAGUGUCACUCUCACAACACACCUCAAUGGGGCCCUCCCCUCCCGCCAAAGCCCACCAUAAAUUCUAGUUUUCUAUAAAAACCUUCGUUAACACCCAUUCCACUCUCCUCUUCUUUCCACCUCCUCUUCCGCUUGAGACUUGGUCGUGCUCAUAAGACUACUCUCUCUAGCUUCUUAGACUUUUUUAUAUGCAAAGACUUGAGAUAAUAUAUAUCAAGUCCAUCAUUAUUAUAUAGUUUUAGUAGUACAUAGUUAACACCUUGGAGGAGGUGGAAAGGAGGAAGAAGAAUAGGAAGAGAUGAAGGUGGCGGUGGAGGUGUUGGAAGCGCACGACCUGAUGCCGAAGGACGGCGGCGGCACGGCGAGCGCCUUCGUCGAGGUGGACUUCGACGGGCAGCGCCGCCGCACCCGGACCAAACCUUAUGACGUCAACCCCUUCUGGAACGAGAUUCUCUUCUUCGACGUCGCCGACCCCCUCGACCUCCCCAGCAGCACCAUCCACGUCGCUGUCUACCACGACCGCUCAGCCGGUGGCGGCGGCGGCCACCAGCAGGGCCGCAGCUUCCUCGGCCGUGUCCGCCUCUUCGGCUCCUCCGUUGCCCCUUCCAGCGCCGAGGCCGCCAUCCAGGUCUGCUCCCUCGACCGACGCCGCCUCUUCUCCCGCGUCCGUGGCGACCUCUCCCUUCGCCUCUUCGCCGUCCCAAACUCCUCCAAAGCCUCCUCCUCCAGCCACUCCCCCUCCACGACCGCUGCCGUCCCGGAAACCCAUUCCUCCGAGAACCCUCCGCCGGCCUCCAAGGAGAAGAAAGUCUUUCACACGGUGGGCUUCGAACCUGCGCAGAUUCGGACUAAAGAAUUCAUGAACAUGGAGAAGAACCACAGCCGAAGCCAUCACUUCCGAGCAGAAGCACCGCAGCCGCCUGCGGCGGCGGCGGCGAUGCACGUGGAGGCCCGUCCACAGCCGAAAUCCGAUUACGUUCUCAAAGAGACGCAGCCGCCGGUCGCCGCCCGGAGGGGCUACCGCGGCGGCGCCAAGAUCGCCAGCACCUACGACCUGGUGGAACAGAUGGAGUACCUCUACGUCAACAUCGUCAAAGCUCGGAACUUGCCGGCGAUGGACAUCACCGGCAGUGUCGACCCCUACGUGGAGGUGAAGGUCGGCAACUUCAUCGGAAAGACGCAGCACGUGGAGCGGAACCAGAACCCGGAGUGGGACCAGGUGUUCGCGUUCUCGAAAGAACAGCUCCAGGCGGACCGGGUGGAGGUAUGGGUGAAGGACAGGGGCGUCCUCAGGGAUGGGUUGGUGGGGAAAGUGAGCGUUCCCUUGGUGGAGGUCCCUUGGCGGCUCCCCCCGGACUCCCCCCUGGCCCCCCAGUGGUACAGACUGGAGGACGCGGAGAGGAGGGAGGAAGUGGGGAGGGGGGAGGUGAUGAUGGCGGUGUGGAAGGGGAGCCAGGCGGACGAGGCCUAUCCUGAAGCCUGGCAUUCGGACGCCCAUACUAUUCCCUUGGAGGCAGUCCUCCACACCCGUUCCAAGGUCUACUUUGCUCCCAGGCUUUGCUACCUCCGGGUUCAUGCCAUUGCAGCACAGGUAGGUAGUCGUCAUGAUCUCCUGACCCUUUUUUUUUUUUUUUGUGGAAACAAGAUUAAUAAAAGUUAUGUAAAUUCUGGUAAUUUUUUGUAAUUAAUGAAAACGUUUUUUUUGAAAAAAAAAGAAUAUAAUUGUCUUUUUACUAUUAUUAUUUGUAGGUAUAGUGUCAUCGGAUUAUGAGUUAUAUUGAUGAGCCACUCUAAUGGCAUGUAAUGCCAAGUUGAUGAGUAAUAGUUGGAUGACGUACGCCCGGUUGUAUUAAUUUUUAAUAUUGGUUUUAGCUUUGAUAACGUAUUACGCAAAGUAUUCCAAAUGAUUGCUGAGUUUUCUUGUGCCAUUGAUUGGAGUUGAAGUGAUCUAUAUUUUCUUCUACCUUAGCUCAGCUCUUGACUUAAGAAAUACAAUUUGCAUUAUUUUAAAGCACACGUGGUGAGGCUUUUUUUUUUUUUUUUUUUGGUGUUUAUUGUCAUUGUGAUGAGAACACACAUACUUACUGUUGCGGUUAUAUUAGAAUUUAUUGAAAUAUUUAUUCUAAUAAACGUUUCUCUUUUUUUGUUAUUUUUCUCCUUAUUUUGAGUUUGUAACAGGAUCUGGUUCCCUCCGAAGAGACCCGGCUCCAGCCCGAGACCCACGUCAAGGUCCAGCUCGGAUCUCAGAUCCGGUUCACCCGGCCCUCUCCGGUCCGCUCACUGAACCCGUCCUGGAACGAGGAGUUCAUGCUGGUGGGCUGCGAACCAUUCGACGAGCCGGUCAUAAUCACGGUCGAAGAUCGGCUCGCUCCCGGCAGGGACGUCCCACUCGGCCGGCUCGUCCUCAACAAACCCAGAAUCCCUACUCAGGCAACGUUGCAAUAACGAUUCCAACAAAUUAAUAUAUUUAUUUCGUUAUUUCACCUGUCCACCUAAUAAUGGAUAAUAAAUACCAGAUUUUUAACUGGUACAGAGGUUCAACCAUUUCCCUUCACAGGAUUUUGUUCUAAAAGAACCCCUUUUUUUUUUCUCUUUGCAAAAAGAAAACACCCCUUAAUUAAUAUCGAGCCAUGCAUAAAACCAUUAUUUCCAUAAGUUCACCAUGAAAAACAUGUAUUGCUCUACCGAGAAUAAGCUAAUAGAUUAAUUCGAUCAUUAACUGUUCAUUAAAUAUGGGAAUAACUAUUAACUAGUCUUUCAAGUGAUUUUUUUUUUUUUUUUUAGAAGCAAAACAUGAGGACGGGCGAGGAUAUUAAAUAACACCACUUAUUACAUUAUAAUUCACUUAACAUAACAAUAAGAAUUUGGACCUUCUAUAUAUAUAUAACACCCGUUAUUCCAAAUUUAUUCCAGGCUGACCACCGCCGGAUCAUGCCAAACCAGUGGUUUGACCUCUCCAAACCCACCUUCUUUUCCGAAGACACCACCACCACCACCAGCGAGGAGCGGAGGAGAGACUCCAAGUUCUCCAGCAAGCUCCAUCUCCGGAUCUUCUACGACGCCGCCUACCACGUCAUCGACGAGCCCAUCCAAUACAGCAGCGACUUCCAGCCAUCAUCGAAGCCUCUCCGAAAGCAAAGCAUCGGAAUCCUCGAGCUCGGCAUUUUGAGCGCCAAAGAUUUGGUGCCCAUGAAGCUCAGCAAUGGCGUCGCCACCGCCGACGCCUACUGCGUCGCCAGGUACGGCCCCAAAUGGGUCCGAACCCGAACCCUCCUUGGCUCCCUCUCCCCCAAGUGGAACGAGCAGUACACUUGGGACGUCUUCGACCCCUGCACCGUCCUCACCAUCGCCGUCUUCGACAACUGCCAACUUCACAACAAUGGCAACAAGAACGGCAAUGGCUCCAAGGAUCAAAGGAUCGGCAAGAUAAGAAUUCGUCUCUCGACCUUAGAAACCAAUAAGCUUUACACUCAUUACUAUCCAUUGUUAUCUAUUCAACCUUCUGGUUUGAAAAAGAUUGGCGAGCUUCAUUUAGCUAUCCGAUUCACUUGCACCGCAUGGACCAACAUGGUCACCCUCUACACGAAGCCCAUGUUUCCGAAGAUGCACUACGUCAAACCGAUCCCGGUGUUGCAAAUGAACUACCUCCGCACUCAGGCGAUGGGUGUGGUCAUGUCUCGGCUUGCACGGGCGGAGCCGCCGCUCCGGAGGGAGGUGGUGGAGUACGUGCUCGACGUCGGCUCCCAUUUGUUCAGCGUGAGACGGAGCAAGGCCAACUUCGGACGUAUCGUUUUGUUGUUGUCUGGUGUGACGGCGGUGGCCAGGUGGUUCGACGGAAUUCGGAACUGGAAGAAUCCGGUGACCACAAUACUAGUCCACGCGCUGUUCUUGAUACUGGUGUUCUACCCGGCCUUGAUCCUGCCUACCGUCUUCCUCUACUUGUUUGCGAUCGGAGCAUGGAACUACGGGUCCCGGCCGACGGAGCCGCCGCACAUGGACACGGAGCUGUCGUGUGCCGAAACGGUGACGACGGAAGACUUGGAUGAAGAAUUCGAUCCAUUUGUGACGAGGAAGUCGAUAGAGGUGGUGAGGAGGAGGUAUGACCGGCUGAGGUCGGUGGCGGGGAGGGUGCAGGAGUUGGUGGGGUUCUUGGCGACGCAGGGGGAGAGAGUCCAGGGUCUGUUGAGCUGGAGGGAUCCCCGGGCGACGGGGAUCUUUAUAGUGUUUUCGGCCAUAUUAGCUGUUGUCUUCUACGCGGCGCCGAUCCAGGUGGUGCUGGUAGUGGUGGGGCUGUACGUGCUGCGGCACCCCAGGCUCAGGAGCAAGAUGCCUUCUGUGCCUUAUAAUUUCUUCAGGAGGUUGCCGGCCAUGUCUGAUAUGCUUCUAUGAACUAAUGAGCAGGAAGGAAGGAAGGAUGUGUAUUGUGUUGGACCACUGUCAGCCUUUUUUUUAAUCAUCUCUCAGUCAUCCCCUGAUGACCUAUGAAUCUACUCGGUUAGUGUUUUACCGCAGGAUCCAUGAGAAUGGUACCUCUUUGGUUGUUUCGAACGAAGGGAAAGGGGAUGAAACUUUUUCUUUUUUUUAAUUUUUAUCGAGCAGUGAGUGGAUUCUGGUAUAUCUGGUUGGUAGCAGAACUUUUGCCCCGGAGAGCGAUCGCUCUUUUGGUAUGUCCCUAUCGAACAAAAAUCCUCUGGCGGAGGAGAUUGCAUGGAGCGGUACUGUUCAUUCUCUUUUUUUUUUUUUUAUUCGGGUGAGAAACGCAAACAUCAUUUGGGGGGACAAAGGAAAGAGAGUUAACCACUUAACGGAGAGGCAUUCCUCAUUGAACAUAUGCCUUAACCAUUUUAAAGUAAAAAUGAAGGAGUCGGAGUGGGACGAGACUCCUCCGUCCAUCCUAUGAUUAAUUUUUACUAAAAAAAAAAUCAAUCAUCAUCUAUAUAUUGUUAAGAUUUGAUGUCUCGAGAUUCGAUCUACAUUGAGCCCACAGUGAGGUCCGUGACGAAAAAUAAAGUCCAACGAGAUUAAGAUCACUUCAAACGAAGUCCGGACGGCCGAAAUACGAGUGAUUGAAGUCAGCAUGAAACUCGGAGCGAUAGAGGACCGCCGGCGGUGCGGCCGCGGCCCGCGCCCAGGCACACGAGCGCACGGGCCGGCUCAGGCGCUGUGCUGGGAGCCCAUUGCCCAAUCCACUGUGGAUCGGACGGUGCACAAUGGACUGCAUAGGUGUUUCCCACGCGUUUCUCGCAGUUCACGGACUGUUUCGUGGACCAAUGCACGAUCGGAGGGUGUGAGUUGAUUCUGAUUUCGAUCCAAUGGUCCAGGGGCUUUGUUUGAUUGCUUUGAGGAUUUUUUAAUCCAAUCUAAUCCGUUUUUAAGCCUUUAAAAGGCCUGGUAAUGCAGCAGAGAGGUGUGGUUCGGUCUGGCAUGCGGUUUUCAUCAGGCGAAAAAUCGAGAAACCACACGAAGAGAGAGAGAGAGAGGUUGAGACACUGUGAAAAAAAGGAGUAGGAGGCUCUUGGACGGUGGACAGCGAUCGCUUCAGGAGUUCAGAGGGUCUUCUUAGAGAGAGCUUUUGUGAGAAAAAAUUUCAUAUGAGGGAGAAAUGGGGUGUACGAGGGUUGAGGGUGAGAUCUCCUCUUGUAAUAUUUCUUUUUCUCAUAGUAAAAUUUGCAUGCCCCAUGGAGACGAGCCAUUUUUUGGUUGUCUACGUAUUAGAUUAUUUUUCUAUUUUAUUUCUUCUUUCUUCUUGCUGCAUCGCACGGUAUCAAAAAGGUCCUGAGAGGUGGUGUCCUGGCCAGACAUCCACCCUACAAGUGGUAUCAAAACGAGACGGUACAAGAACGUAGAUUGCAACGGUGGUGAGCAAGACUGAAGAUGGAGAAGACAUGAUCAAUCAAGUUGGAUAUCAACAAGUUUGAUGGAAAGAGUAAUUUCUCCUUGUGGCAGGCAAGGGUGAAGGACGUACUCAUCCAAUAAGGAUUGAUCAAUGCUCUCUUAUGCGAGUAGAAGCCGAAUAUCAUGGAGGUGUAGAAUUGGAGACGGCUACAGAUGCAGGCGGUAAGUACCAUCCGCAUGUACUUAGCGGAUGAGGUGGCGAUCCAUAUGCUUAACGAGACUUCCUUGACGGUGUUGUGGUCGAAGCUCGAGGAGUUACACAUCGCGAAGUCUCUCACCAACACUCUUUUCUACUAGAGGCUGUUCUAUCAGCUAUGGAUGAUUGAGGGACAGAGCGUGCAAGAGCAUCUCAGCUACUUUCAGAAGAUCCUCACUGACCUCCUCAGCGUUGGUGAGAAUAUUGAGGAGAAGACCAGGGUGCUGAUUUUGCUAGCGUCGCUUCUCCCUUCGUAUGAGUUCUUGAUGACUGCUCUUCUAGUGGGAAAGAGCACCAUCAAGAUGGAUAAGGUCACCGCGGUGAUUCUCCAGAAUGAAGUUCUCAAGAGGGAGAACCCAGCUUCGAGCUCAGAUGGCGGUAGCUCAGCUUUGAUAGUUUCUGAAGGAGUAGGAGGCGAUAGACGGAGCGACAGAAGAUCGUGAUGAGGGCAGUCCAAGUCCAGGAGAGACUUGAGCAAGACCAGGUGUUACCAGUUUGACGAGUUGGGGCAUCUAGCUAGAGAUUGCUCUCAACUCAGAGAUCGAACGAUGGCUACUGUAGCGACGGCCAGUAGCGAUUCAGAGGGAGAUGUUCUGGAGAUAUCUGAUGAGAUAUCUUUUUCUUCCCCGCAGUGAAUUUUAAAUUCUGCAUGCACCUAUCAGAUAUGUUGCAGAGAGGAGCAGUUUGACUCCCUAGAGAAUAGUGAGGGCACUAUUUAUCUGCCGAAUGGAUCAUGCUGUGCGAUCAGAGGCAUCGAGACGGUCAGCUGGAUGAUACAUAAUGGUACAGUGAAGAGAUUGAAGGAGGUCCGAUACAUACUCGAUUUCAAACGGAAUCUUAUCUCACUAAAUAGAUUAGAUUCGAGAGGCUACAGGACGGUAGCUGAUGGAGGAAUCCUGAAGGUGCUACGCGGCGGUAGGAUUGUUUUGGAGGAGAAGAAGGGGAGGAGAGGACAUUAUUACCUGACGGAGAACCCAGUGCGGGUGGAGCUUCGGGAACCAAAUAGAGCCCAGAGCGAGGUGGAGCUUCAGAUGGAGGUGGAUCGGACACAAGACAGGAGACUCGGGAGGAUGAAAGGCGAUAUCGCAAGGUGAGAUUCCUAUUGCCGCAGGAUGAUACUCCGAGUAGGUCUCAGGUUAGGAAGAGCAUAGCAUACGACGGAGAUGGGAUCAAGCGGCCUGACUUGACUCCAAUGUUUGUCCAUUCAUGAUCAACAGGCGAUUGCCCCAAGACAUAGGGGUGAGGAGAUCCAGAAGCUCUCGGAAUCAGGAGAAGGUUGAAUAUCGAGUCGAGAUAGAGAUUGUUAGGAUUUGAUGCCUCAAAAUUUGAUCUAUAUUGAGCCCAAAGUGAGGUUCGCAAUAAAAAACGGAGUCCAACGAGGCCAAGAUCACUUUAAAUGGAGUCCGGAUGGCCGAGAUAUGAGCGAUUGAAGUCGGCACAGAACUCGAAGCGAUGGAGGACCGGUGGCUGCCGGUGGCACGACCGUGUGCAGCAGGGCGCAGCCCAAGUGCGGCUGCGCGCGGCCCAGGCCCAGGCUUAUGAGCGCACGGGUCGGCCCAGGCCCAGGCACUGCGUUGGGAGCCCGUUGCCCAGUCCACCGUGGAUCGGACGGUGCACAACGGACCACAUGGGUAUUUACCAUGCAUUUCUCACGGUCCACGGACUGUUCCUUGGACUAGUGCACGAUCGGAGGGCGUUGGUUGAUUCUGGUUUCGAUCCAACGGUCCAGAGGCUUUGUUUGAUUGCUUUAAGGAUUCCUUAACCUAAUUUAACCCGUUUUUAAGCCUUUAAAAGGCAUGAUAAUGCAGCAGAGAGGUGUGGUUCGGUCUGGCGCACGAUUUUCAUUAGGUGAAAAAUCAAGAACUCACACGAAGAGAGAGAGGCUGAGAUGCUGUGAGAAGGAGCAGGAGGCUCUUGAAUAGCGGACAGCGGUCGCUUCAGGGGUUCAAGAGGAUCUUCUUAGAGAGAGAGCUUUUGUGAGGGAGAACUUCUUGUGAGAAAAAAAUUGGAUGUACGAGGAUUGAGAGUGAGAUCUCCUCUUGUAAUAUUUUUUUUCUCAUAAUAAAGUUUGCAUGCCCCGUAGAGGCGAGCCCUUUUUUGGUUGAUCCACGUAUUUGAUUGUUUUUCUAUUUUAUUUUUUCUUUCUUCUUACUGCAUCGUGAGGUUUCAAAAAGAUCUUGAGAGAUGAUGUCCUGACUAGACAUCCACCCUACAUAUAUAUAGCCGGCCAUCUAUCCAUAUAUAACCUCCUCUUCUUUCUCAUUAAGCUGUUAGUUCUUUUCGGUCCGUUCAUGCAACCUUUCUCCUCAUCCUUGAAUCUUUUUCUCCCCUUUUGAAAUAUUAGGCCCCUUCCUCUCUAUGGCCAUAGAUGGUAUUUAUUAUUACAUAAUAUAAUAUUAGAUGAUAUGUACUUAAUAAAUUAUUCAUCUAACAAUCUAUAUAUACCUCUAGACAAAUUGAUACGUAAUUUUCGAAUAUCAUGUUUGCUAUUGUAUAAUACAUAUCUAAGUGAUGCAUACUUGAUAAGUUUCUAAUAUAUACUUUAAGUUUCUUUGAUAUAUAUAUUUGAUAGUGACCCAACACACAUAUCUAAAUAAAUUAAUGCAUUUUUAAACAAAAUGACUAUACAAUUUCUAGAAUAUAGUGUUUACUAGUUCAUAGUAUAUAUCCAAAUGAUGCACGUUGGAUAGGUUUUUAAUGCAUAUUUUAAGUUGCCUGGAUACAUACUCAAGAGCAACCUAAUACACAUAUCUAAAAAAAUUGAUAUAUAUUUAAACUAAUCGAUAUAUUAUUUUCAAAAUAUCAUAUUCAUCAAUAUACGGUACAUAUCUAAUGAUACAUACUUUAAAAUCUUUUUGAUACAUAUUUUAAAUUUUUUUGAUAUAUUACCAGCAACAAUCCAAUACACAUCUCAAGACAAAUCGAUAUAUAAUUUUUAAAAAAUAAUAUUUACUGUCAUACAAUCCGUGGUCAUACGAUCUAUACUUGGGAUGGACAUCCUCACAGGGAAGAAGAUUCAAAGGAGAAAAGUCCUAGGAAUGGACGGAGAGCAAAGAACAACUCGAUGAGAGAGAAGAAAGUGAUGCAAGUGAAUGGCCUCGUGAAUGAUGCUUUAUAUACUUUGUUUAUUAUAUUUUUUUAGAAUUACAGGAUAGUAGGAGAAUCCCAUUCUAUUUUGACUCUUUAAUUUCUAUUUUAAGAUGGAUAUAAUCAAUUAUGUGGCAAGGAAAAAAAGAUUGCUCCAUACAAUCUUCUACGGCGCAUGUAUGAGGUCUCUAACGCUGGAUGAGAGAGAAGUUUCAUCUCAGAGAGCAUAGCACAUAGAUGUGUCACUUUCUACUUUCAAAAUGGUCAUAAAGAUGCCCCACAACUUAGAAAAUUCCAUGUGUACUCUCUGACCUGUACCACGCUCUCUUUUUGGGAUAAAGAUAAAGAUAUGCUCAUAACUUGGGGCCUCUUUUUCUCUUCAUGUUUGCACCAGAUGGAGGAAUAAAGUGGUCGGUUGGACCACCAUGUUGCCUGUUACUUUGGACCGUAAAACAGGUUGCCUGACACGAAAUACGGUUCCCCAAUCACAGCUAUUUUGUAUCACUUGGAUGUCCAUUGGGCUGGCUCAGCUAAAGGCUGACACAAAACCUAUACAUGUUCCUUCCCCCACAAAAAACAAGGAAAACAAAGAAAUAUCCUUGUUUGACAUUACAGGUGUAAUGCCUUCCAUCUCAUGUUGGGAGCCAGUUGUAUCUUUGAUCAUUUUCUGAUAUAAGCUGCUCCUAAAACAACCAUCAUAUCCAUAACCAACAGUCUAUCAUACCUUGUCCCAGUGAUUUGGGAUCAGCUUUUGGAACAUGGUCUUGGAAACAACUAUGAGAAUACACACAUACUAUAUAGAUAAUUAGAAAACAUAGGCAGGAAAACCUGCAAAUAAUAAUUGCACCAGUAGGAAAACACAAUAAUACAGUUGCAGUCCCUUUAUCAGGAUGACAGCAUCCCAGAUGAAAGCAAUAUUAGCAGAGCUAUGGUUGUCAGAGAGCUCGCAAUCAACCCACUCAGCAAAAUCCAAUCAACGGUGGCUAAUUCGACACUCAUUCAGCUUGUCUCAUGGUUUUCCAGGAAUUUACUUGCAUUCACAUCAUUCAUAUUCACUGGUCCUUGUAACUUUCUCUUCCUGAGUAGCAUAGACUGAACUGCGCUAAUAAAAUCUCCCUAUUUAUAACCAUCGCAAUAGGAGCUUCUUCAAGACCACAAUUGCUAAUUUGCUGCACUAGAUUCUGCACUGCACAUGGGCAGGGUUCUUGCUUUCUUGAACACACACAACUGUCAUGUGAAUCCCUGAAAGGAAUAGCUUCCAAGUUGAUGUUACCUUCGUAUGUAAUUUCUUUUACCUGAGGUGAAGGAGUGUCGAUCACUGCACCAAAAACAGACCCUUCCUGCUGAUGUAAUCUUUACAUCUGUUGAGAUACCUAGCAUACCAUCUGGAGCAAUUACAAGCACUUGGAUAUAUCCCUUAGUAUGGCCAACCUGCGGUUACACAAGAAAAUCCGGGUACCGGGGAAGGUUAACACUGCAUCAAAGGUUUCAAAUGAUAGAAGGGACACUCGGAGGACUCUUGAAUUUUCGACCCUCUAAGUCCCCUUUUCUGUUAAUGAGAAAAGGUACUCUGGAUGUUCAGAUUUUUGGGCUGCUUAACUUUACAUUGAAUAAACUAAAAAAUUACAACUAACAGAAACACAGACUGAUUCACAUUAGAAAGAAGGAACAAGAUGGCUUCUUAACCAAAUGAAUACCAUCAGCAGUAAUCCAUAUCUUCUCAACCCGAUCUUCCAUUCCUUUGUCAGGGGAAAAUGAUUCAAAAUUUCAAAUACGGUAGUCAACUCACGAAUAUGCUUCUUCACUUCAGUGCUUGGAACUUUCUUCAUCCUUGCAGCAGAAGGCCCUUGAACAGUAAGAUUAGACAUUUGGUGACGUACGUUGACACGAAAACAAUAACCAUGCAGCCAUCCAACAGUUUAGCAGGUUUACAUACCUGACUAGUAGCUAGUCUGUGUCCUUUGCAUUUAGAUUUGAUGAAAGAAGAAAAAUUUAGCAUUAAUAAGUUUAGAUGAAAGCUCCCUUGAGCCAGGCCUCUAUUGCAAGACAUAUCAUGAGCACAAAAUAUACAGACCAGAAAACACUGUUGCAGAUAAGAACAUGGUACCAUCUUUGGAAUGCAAUGCCAUUACUUGCUGUGUGAAAGGAGGUCCAAGUUGGCAUAAUGAACACACACCUGGCAACAAGGACCUUCCAUUUUACUGUGGGGAUGUGAGUGGAUAAGGAACACUCUUAUUUAGGGAAUGGAAAUGCCAAGAGGCAUAUUAAAUAUAGCAAUAUGUUGCAAACAGGUCCAUUUAGUCGGUGCCAAAUUUUGCUAGUAUGCCAGAUACAUUUUUAAUAGCCAAUGAUACAUGGAGCUGAAAAGGAAAAAGAGCAAGAAGUAUUCAUUGAACUGAAUUAAGGUUGGUCUUGCUAGAAUCUUGUACGAGUAGAAGAUUUUCCAUUUACCAGGAAAUGUACUCAGGUGCAGGUAGCAGUACAAAUUUUGGUGUUACGCACUCAAGAAAAGUGUUUCAGCUACUAAAUUAGAACAGGGACAUGAUUUAAGCACUGGUAAGUGAAAAUAAUGCUUCUGGAAAUAAUUUUCUGCCCCAUGAUAAAAAUCUUAUUGUAUAUGCUGAUGUGGAAUAAAGCUACAACACUGAUCAAUGAAAUUACUGUUAUCUGAAGAAUUAACAAAAGACGAGAAAACAUACCUGGUCUAGGACAAAAUUGAGAAAUAUGAACUUGAGGGAAUUGGUAGUCCUUUAUCAGACUGACAAUUUUUGUGAACUCUUCAUCAGUGUCACCUAAAAACACAGGGGAUGAGUCUUUCCCUGUCAUCUGUUUUAUCUACUUGAUAUUUAACCGCACAAGACCAUCUCAAUAUUGUGCACUAUGCAGGUGUUCUCACAAGCAUUCACUUCAAUGAUCUGAAGCCCAAUCUUAAUGUUUAAGAGAAAAAACACAGGUUCAAAAUAACAAUGUAUUUCGCAGAGGAGCGGAGAAAAAUGCAUGCUGCCAACAAUGAGACUUUAUGAUCGGUCUAAACAACUAUUAGAACCAGCAGGAGGAUAUAUAAAGUAUAUUUUGCUAAUUUACCAGGGAAUCCACAAAUAAUAUCGGUUGCAAUCUGCAUCCCAGGAACAAGUUCAAUCAGAGUACCCAACUUCCCGAACUCGUUCACAAUGUACUCACAAUGCAUCGCCCGACAUAAUGCCAACACACAACUCGUCAGGUCUAUAAUUGAUGAAAAUCAGAGCCACCAUAACUUCGUAGACUCAUUACUGCUUGGAUAAUCAAAAUGCAGGAAACAAGAAUAGCUUGUUUACAUUUACAUAUGGACGCUGAUAGGAAGGUUAUGAGCAAUAAUAUUAUGAAAAAUAUCUAUACUAAAACUUACAGCCAGGACAGCAUCCCUCCCAGACUGCAUAGGUACAUGCAGGAACAAAUACACACAUGGGUGGCACAAUAUUUUGGCUAUCUCUUUCAAAUGCUCCAGUAUAAAAGGGGGAAUAGUCAUGCCAAUGCCAAGCAUGGUGAUUCUAUCAUGAUGAAGUUCUGCAAAAAUGGCAUGUAGUAGAACUGGAAAAUUUUGAUAUGAGAGUUGUCAUGGCAGACUGACUAGGAGACUUCACUGUGAAUCUGCGCCAGAUAUAAUUGGAUCAUUUGAACAUUUAGAACUGUAAAUUAAACCACACAUUUGUAGGUGCCUAUCCAAUGCCACAGGGGAAAGAAAAUGAUAAAAAGAAAGGAAAAAUGAAAGAAAGCUUUGCAAUUGCAUAUCAUAUUCGAUGAUGAGGAGGGCAAGUGCAUAAAUAGCAGAUGCAACAUGGAUCAAGUUUCUAAAAUUUCAAGAUAAAUUUGGCAGCAAAAAUUUUAAAAGCUUUCCACUUAGGCAUCAAUGGUUUUAGAAAGUAUAAGAGGACAUAAUACUUAAAUAUCCAGUGUUGAUAAAUGAUAUGAGCUAACCAUUCAAGUUUGCGUAUAAGUAAAAUUCUUUGAACUAUCUGGAUGAAUAACAGAAAAUAUGGUACUUCAUUGCGAAUGAAAAACAGGAUUAAAAUGAGUAAAACGAAAUUAUAAAAAAGAAAGAAGGGAAAAGUAUGUAUUUAUUAGCCAUAAGUCUGCUUCCUCAGGAUCAUCAGUCACUGCAUAUCCAAAUGCUGAAAGCUGACAAGCUAUGUAUUCGCUAUCAUUCUGUUAAGCAAACACAAAAGGAGAAUUUGUAAGCAAUUUAAAUCUAACAAUCAAAUUUUAUCUUAUAUUUGUUGUUCCAUACAAGCUGUUUGUAUUCAGCAUAAAUUUUUGAUGAAAAUAAAUGGGGAAUUAAAAAAAUUCUAUAUUCUAUUUACAUCACAUUCAUCUUUUCAUCUGGAAGAUGUUCCUUCGCAUUCAUACAUAAUUUCAAAACUCACAAGAGCCUUACCUUACCCUCAAGGGGGCACCCCAGGGAAGAAGCAAUGAAAUUUUUUAUCCUUGUAAGUGCAUGGUGAUUCCAAAAUUCAUUGCAAAGAAAAAGUUAUGAUAGCUUAAUCUAGAACAACUUCUCUAUACUUUUCAUUUGAGUUUCAUUCUUGUAUUAAAGAAUUUCCAAUUCCCAGUUGUAAGAUCUGAAAGAAACAACCAUGACAACUGAAUCUCAUAUAUAAGAAUUUUUUUUUUGGCCCGCAAUCAAUUUGCAUGAAUAGAAGGGAAAUAUGGGAAAUGGAUGGAAAAAUUGAUUGGGUAGGAAAAGGAAGUACUAUGAACAUGAAAAUCAGAUUUGCCUUAGCGAAGAGAAGGAAGAGCAUAAAAAGCAGAAAAUGUAAAGCAAUAUAAUUCCAAAUCAAAAUAGUUCAAAAAGAGGAAAGCAAAAAAGGUUAAGAAAAAUUGGGGCGGAUGGAGGUGGUGCAAGAGAGAGAUGAAUUAAAGAAGAUAGAGGUUUCACUCCCGAAACUUAUGCACACAGUCGAAAAUAAAAUCAUCAAAAUACAACUUACAUUUGUAUGCUCUCUUUCACUUAUCAAUAGAACAAAUCAAACCUUGUGGAUAACUUUGCAAUAAUAAUCAAAUAACCCUAUGUUUAAGCUUUUUAAACACCUUGCAGAAUCAUCCUAAAAGCAAGCCAGAAAAAACGAGAAACAUUUAGGAAGCAAGUGCAGGGAAAAAUUGCCAGAGAAAAUUCCAAAGUAGGUGCACCCCCUGUGGAAGUUUCCUGUUACCAAGUCAAUAAAUCUGAAAUCUCGAUCCUCAAACUAGGCUAGAGAUGACAGUUUCAAGUCUUUAUAAUCUGAAAAAGAGCCUUUCAUGUGGCCAUAUAUCUUGAACAGGUCUUAAGCAACAACAAUUUUAAAGAUUUGGUUAUGAGAAGGUGGAUUCAUUUACCAUGAUUUGUCAGAAGUAAAAAGAAUGAGAAUUUCUCCUAAGCUUAAUGAACCAGCAACCAAAAAUUAUGAGCUUCAAUCCCAAUCAAAUAACAGGGCAAGGUUGAGACUUAAGAAACCUUCAGUAGUAGACAGUAAAUAUGCUGAUUGCUCUGACUUAUAGAAGUCUAAUUUUAUAAGCAACACCACCAUCACCCAUCCCCCAAAACCAACAAAAAAAAAGGGCAAACAACAGCAUGUAACAUUAAGAUGACACUAGAAUGAAUACGAAUGGGGAUGUUAUAUUAGUUCGAAAGCUUCUCAGGAUUUAUUAGCAGAGUUUGUCAGACUGUUUUUCAGUAAAUACCUUCCACAAAUGAAACAGCACAUGUACAUUGUAGCUAAAAAGGUGAUCAAUGAAGUACUUCAACCACGAACAACCACAUUAUUUAUCUUCAUAUCACAUAAGCGAAUGACAGUUCUACUCAAUGACAAAAAGGAUGCCUGGCUUCUUCCAGAAUGUCACAUAUUAACUCUCUAUAGGGUGUAAAGUGAUUCACACCAAUGCCCUUGCAUCCUUCUUCAACAACUUAAAUUUACAGCAGGGAGGUAAAAUGUCAUGGAAAGUAUAAUUGUGACAUGGAGUCCGAUUUCCCGUUUACGAAAUUACACUUCCAAUUCCAUGCAUUUUAUGUCUGAAUGUUUUGCCAUCCAACAUAAAACCACUUCUCUCAAGUGAUUCAUUCCAUGUUCUUAUGACUCACAGAAUUCCCUAUACAUCGACUAUUAAUAACUAAGAUCGAAAUUAAACAAACACUUAACAAAGCAUUCAAUCACCAAAGACCCAGAUCAAUUAAUACAAACUAAACCGUUUAGUUGCACAGUUAUUCAACCAAUAUCUACGAUAGAAAAGAAAAUAAUUAAAAAAAAAAACUGUGUCGGCAAAAAAACAAAAUUUUUAUGGAGGGAUUAAGAAUAUUUGCCUGGUUAGCGCAUCCGAUUGUCUUCAUUUGAGAGCUGGAGACGGGGCCGUGGAGGAGGCGAGCUCUGGGCGGCCACCACGUCUUCGACGUCUUCCAUCCCGACAAGACCACUUCCCGCGGUCUCACCACGGCGCUCCGCCCGGAUCGCCGCGGCGGCGGCGGCGAAGGUCGCGGUUGUAUGGAAUAGUGUUUCCACAUCUGGUACUCGGCUUGAGGGUCCGGGCGCCCGCAGGCAUCAUCAUGGCGGCUCGGUUUUAAGAUGGGCCGUGAUUGGGCUAGGCUCGGUCUCGAUGGUACACUUUUAAUUGGGCCGAAACGAGUGUUGACGAUAUCACAAAACACUUUAAGCUCAACCAUAGUUUGAGUCUGGCUUCAUUCCUUGCAGUUCUUCCCUUCCCAAAGGAGAGAGGGGAUACAUGCAUGUAAAUCUAUAUAAUUAAUAUCAAUUUAUCAUUAUUUAUGAUAAGUUUAACAACAAAAUAUUUUGACUCAUUACGAUAUAUGAUAAAACCUGAAAGUAUUUUAGAAGAGAAAAAGAAAAGACAAAAUAGAUUAUAGCAUAUCUAGGAAAUAUUAGAAUAAUACUUCAUUAUAAUCAUUAAUCUGCUCAUUGUUUUUCAUAAUGAUGGAAUCAUAUUAGCUUGUUUUUAGUUUGUUUUGAAAUAAUCUGCACUAUAAAAUAUUCCUAACUCUUUUCUGUUAGUUAAUUCACAAAAAUUCUAGUUGUUCUACCAAGUAUAUGGCACGAUAUUGAUUGAUACUUUGUUGUCUAAGAUGAAACCAAAACAGAUAUUAGCACAUAAAAGAUCUUGGUAUGCAGGUCUUCUAAGUUGCUAAUCUUAGCACGCAAAAUGACUUGCUUAGUGUCAUGCAGUACACUAAUCCAAUAAUAUCUCAUCAAGAGACGAGCUAAACCAGCUUAAGCUAUCAUGGAUUACCUCAUUAUGCCAUCCCUGUAGCUAUCACAUCCUAUGCACCAUCGUAUUGGCCACCACACAGCUAUACCAACUUAAUAGAUAAACUGUUCCGAGACACUUCGACUACAGCUAAUGAUGAGCAGCGGAAUCUCCAACGGCUAAAGUUCUUCGAGGUUGGUGGAAUGGAAUAAACAGACAAUGCAGACAUACACCUGGAUCCACGUAUUGGAGUGGCCCAGGACUUCCACCCCUACUUACUGAAAGCUUCUCUCUAUCCCUCCCUUUAUGAAACCAGGAGAUUGGAGGGUGGAGGCUAUAUCCCAUAUCCAAGUUGGUCCUUUUGUAAAGUGGCAUUUGCUCUUGUUCUUAUUUUUUCGAGAUACUACAUUAUUCGAUGAGUGUUAAUGAUAUUUGAUUGGCAUGUAGAAAGGGACAUAGGUAGGGAUACGAGCUUUUUGUGUUGGAUUCCAAUAAUUCCAACUUUGUACAGCUUGGAUUUCUCAACGGUCAUCUCCACCAUCAUCAUCCACCCUAAUUUGAGCCCACAUAUCUAUCAUUAUUGUGCUUGACCUUUACAACCACAUCAUUCAUGUAAGCUUAUAUAUAUAUACACACACACACACAUAUAUAUUGCUUUGGAAAGAAAUUAUUCAUAUAAUCUUAAUUAUAUAUCCUAAAAGAAGCCUGAGAUCAAGGAUGCGUUGUCCACAAGCAAGGCAUCACAAUAUCUCCAAAGGUGCUGCGGCUUUGGGUCAUCUCUGAUUCAAGCACUGCUGCAUUGGUUCUGACUUGAAAUUGGAGACAGCGCAAGAUGGGACCGAGGGCUCUCGUUCUAUCAAUAAAAAGGAUCUUACCAUUUAAACUAGUUGAUACCUUUUUGCUACAAAUAUUUUCAUUUCUUAUAAUCUUAUAUAAAUUCUUCAAAAUUACAAAAAAGAAAUCGAUAUUUUUUUGGGAUAUGAAAUACAGGUUCUCUUGUAAUGAUUGUAUAAUUAUUUUAGAGAGUUUAUACAAACAUUCUGAUAAUUUUGUGCAAAGAAUUGUGAUAGAGGCAUAUGACUGCCUGUAAUCUUUUUAAUAGUCAUCAACUUUCUUCAUCACCUGCAAUGCUAUGCAGGUCCUACCAUUUGCAUGCAAAAGUUUCUCAAACUAUGUAGCAGGAGGGGUGAAUUUUUACUCCUAAAAAUUGGCAUGGUAUAUGGUGUGUAGUUGAUCAUGAAGCUGCAAUGCCAGCUUUUCCAAGCCUAGAGAACUCUUCAUAUGAAGAAAUAAAGUAUUUUUUAAAAAAUAUUUGAUAAAAUAAGAGUAGACUAUGAUCAUGUUGGAAUCUAUUGCAAUGGCAAUAAAUUAAUAAAGAACUCACGGAUUGGAGAGCAAUUAAUGUGCUGAUAAGAGCUAUUGGGCUAGUAAUACAAGCACUUCCAGCCAUAUCUGGCUUGACACGAUCAAACAAUCAUCUAACGUUUCAAAAUUGCUAUCACACCCACAAACUCAAAAAGAAUUUUUUUAAAAAAGAAAGGGAUUGGCGUAAAUUGGUGUUGCCCCAGUCCUCUGCUUUGGUGCAUGAGGUCUCGGGUUCAUUCUUAAAUGGCACAUUUCAAAAAUUUUAUCUUAUUAAAUUAUGGAUAAAUCUCCCUCUAAUAUUCUUUAAAAAAAUGAAAAAAAAAGGUAAAUAGCUGGCACUAGCCAUCGUUACCUAGCCGUUAUCGCCAAUCGCCAUCUCCCACGGCUUCUGGAGGCUCCGACCCGGCGCAUCACAACGGCGGAUGACGUUAACAAGUGUGGGCUUUUGGAGGCCCACACUCGGGACGUGACGCGAUGACAGCGCGUAUUAUGGCCGUUACGGCGUCGUGGAGGUUACACGGUGUAACGCUUCAAGGAAUCGAGCUCCUCGCGCACCAACCUCAUACCACUAACGACUAUAAUAUUUUUCUGCUCUUUUCUCUUUUUUUUGGAUUGUUUGCAUGCAUUCGGUUGCCAUUGACAAACAUAAUUUGUUAUAUUUUUGCUCUUCAAACUUUUUUUUAUAUAUAUGAUCAUCUAAUUAUCAUGUUUUUCCAUGAAUAUUCUUCUUGUUACAUGUUUGUUAAAUAAUAAUAAUAAUAAUAAUAAUAAUAAUAAUAAUAAUAAUAAUAAAUUUAAAUAUAAAAUAAUUUUAUUAUACUUUCAUAUCAAUAUCUUUAAACAACUACAUAAAAGUAAAACUUUUUCCAUAUAAUUGAAUGUCAACUUUUUUUUUUUUCAGAAAUACUAAUGUAAAGAAUAACUGUAUCAAAUAAUACUUAAAUUUUUUUUAAAAAAAUAAUACUUAGACUUGUUUGGUGUUGACACCAUCUAUUGAUCAAAACUGAAAGGGAUGAGGAGCAUCAGUCCAUGCAAAAGCAUAAUAAUUUGAGAGAUAUAUGUACAAAUAGUGCAUAUAAUAGUUUAAGAUGGUAAAUAUAUAAUAAGCUAGACUUGUAAGGGUGUAAGUGUGUGUGAUAUAUUUUUUUUUGAAUUUAAUUAAUAUAAUUUAGAGCUGCUUGUUAAUGAAGCUGGAAGAGGCGCCGCUAGUUUAUCAAAAGUAAAAUAAAGUCAUCUUUGUUAAAAAGCCUAUCAAAAGGCAAUAAUGAAUAGGUGGGCACCGGUCCUGAAAAUUUUGGUUCACGUACAGCCCUUGCAAAUAGCGUUAAUGCUUUCUUUCUCUCUUCAUUAUAGUAGGAUUAUUUAUUCUCGCAUGAAUUAGGCUGUGCCAGAUGCCCAGGCUCAGCUCAUGCAUAGCUGUGUAAGGCUGGCCACGCCUAAACAAGUACCAAGCAAGUGGCAUGAAAGGAAAGAACAAGAAGAAAAAAUCCAAGAAAGGACACGAUAAACCGUUGCCAGGAGAAUACCUUCGAGGGCUCCGGUAUCCAGAGUACCGUGUGCCAACUAUUCCAAACCCGGAGCGAAGAUAUCCUGUGGGCUUACUCUCCUGGUUGCUUUCUAGAGUCCGGUCUCUGCCAACUUUAAAAGUUUCCUCACGCCGUCCAUCCUCCAGUCUCUGUCACGACCAACCAACCUACAAGCAGGAAAAAAGAAGCUAAACAUAUAUAUAUAUAUACACGCACACAUCAUUGUAGUUCUCGUAUAUCGCAUGAAAAAUAAAGAAGCGUGAGAGCGAGGUCUUCUUAUGCUGCCAUGGGGCACCACCUUCUCCUCACGCAUGCUUGCAAAAGCCAACCUCCUUUAUGAAACAAAGAACCGUUUCAUCCUUCAAUUCUCUCAUUUCUGUUGGCUGAUGAAAAAAACACUGAACUGCCGAGUCGUAAUUGUGAAACUAAUAUUCUCAUGAGAUUAUUCAGUGUGAAUGCAUAGAAAGUGUUAUGUAGUAGAAGGG